rnacentral:sRNA from 1 species
AGCCGAGCUCCGCUGCCGGCCCUGGACACUCGGCUCAGCCAAGCAUCCUUCCUGGGGGCCACUCUGCCGUUCCGAGGACCUGGGAGGAGCCCUCGGUACCCCGGGCCCCGGGGCCCUGGGGCACACACGUCCAGCCCAGCCCGAGCCUGCGUUUCCUGAGCCGGGAUCUGGGGCGAGAUGGCCGCAGGCGGCAGUGCGCCCGAGCCCCGCGUCCUCGUCUGCCUCGGGGCGCUCCUGGCCGGCUGGGUCGCCGUAGGUUGAACUCGCCUUACACCUGUAACCGGUGGACUUCCCUACACACCUUUGCAAGUCUUCCUGUGCCGACCAGCGCCUUCAAAGCGGGGUCUUCCGCCUUUACUUUUGGAAAAGCUUUUUAUUUUGAAAUACUUGGCUGACUUAUAAAAGACUUCCCCUCACACUUGACAUGAUUGACAAAAGCCUCCGGCCAGCUGAGCCUCGCUUCUCUCUAGUGGAUGCCACCUCCCUGCACAUUGAAUCGCUAAGCCUGGAAGAUGAGGGAAACUACACCUGCCAGGAGAUCCUGAAUGUGACUCAGUGGUUCCAAGUGUGG